CCUACGGGUGGCAGCAGUGAGGAAUAUUGGUCAAUGGACGAGAGUCUGAACCAGCCAAGUAGCGUGAAGGAUGACUGCCCUAUGGGUUGUAAACUUCUUUUAUAUGGGAAUAAAAUGUUCCACGUGUGGGAUUUUGUAUGUACCAUAUGAAUAAGGAUCGGCUAACUCCGUGCCAGCAGCCGCGGUAAUACGGAGGAUCCGAGCGUUAUCCGGAUUUAUUGGGUUUAAAGGGAGCGUAGGUGGAUUGUUAAGUCAGUUGUGAAAGUUUGCGGCGCAACCGUAAGAUUGCAGUUGAAACUGGCAGUCUUGAGUACAGUAGAGGUGGGCGGAAUUCGUGGUGUAGCGGUGAAAUGCUUAGAUAUCACGAAGAACUCCGAUUGCGAAGGCAGUUCACUGGACUGCAACUGACACUGAGGCUCGAAAGUGUGGGUAUCAAACAGGAUUAGAUACCCUAGUAGUC
rnacentral:rRNA from 1 species